GUGCACCAGUCGAGAAAACUCCGCAAUGCUCGAAAGAGUGACGGGGGGAUUCCAAGUGCCUACGCUUAGCGUAGGCUGUUCAGAUGCCUAAAAAGCAUCUGGAGUAAGGGCUGGGUAAGACGGGUGCCAUCUGCAGUGGUAAUGAAAACUUGCUACUGCAAGGCAUAAGCCGCCGCGGUAAUACCCGCAGCCCGAGUGGUAGUCGCUUUUAUUGGGCCUAAAGCGUCCGUAGCCGGUCUGGUAAAUGCCUGGGUAAAUCGUGGGGCCUAACCUCACGAAUUCCGGGUAGACUGCCAGACUUGGGACCGGUUGAGGGAGAGGGUACUCCAGGGGUAGGGGUGAAAUCCUGUAAUCCUUGGAGGACCACCGGUGGCGAAAGCGCUCUCCUAGGACGGGUCCGACGGUGAGGGGACGAAAGCCAGGGGAGCAAACCGGAUUAGAUACCCCUGUAGU
rnacentral:rRNA from 1 species